ensembl:lncRNA
AGCUAUCCUUCACUUAAGAGUCUUCUCGGCUGGGGAUGGCCCGGUGGUGCAGCGGUUAAGUUCACACGUUCCACUUCGGCAGCCCAGGGUUCACCAGUUCGGAUCCCGGGUGCGGACAUAGCACUGCUUGGCAAGCCAUGCUGUGGCAGGCGUCCCACAUAUAAAGUAGAGGAAGAUGGGCAUGGAUGUUAGCUCAGGGCUAGUCUUCUUCAGCAAAAAGAGGAGGAUUGGCAGCAGUUGUUAGCUCAGGGCUAAUCUUCCUCAAAAAAAAAAAAAAAAAAGUCUUCUCCGGGUGCCAGACCUUACAAAAAAAAGGAAACCAGUGGGUCUUAAUUUGGGAUUAACUGACCUUUACAAGGGGGCAGGAUGGAGGAGUGACCUCCAGAGGGCGCCAGAGUGAUUCUAUGUUAAGUAGCUGCUGAAGUCCAGGAGAAUAGGGGAAACAGGUAGGACCUUCGCGUCCCAAAGGCUCAGGUGGAAAACCUGAUUCUGCUUCUUGUUUGCAUGUGGCAAACUUGGGCAACUUAUUUAACCAUUUAGAGCUUCAGCUUCCCCAUCUAUAAAAUGCGAGUUGCAGUACCUACCUCGAAGGGCUGUCAUGAAGACAAAAGGAGAUAAAGGAGGCUUACAUGAGAUAACACCGACGGAGCGCAGGGGGCAAGGAAUUAUUGCAGAGGAUCUGCAUCUCCGUUGGCACAUCAGGCCCACUGUCCACAUUGAAUUUACACUGCCCGCGCACAUGUGGUCAACCAUUUUCCAUACGUACGUUGGUGUUUUUGUAAUAAAUAAAACGUGAACUCAGGGAAAAGCUCCCAGAACUCCUGGUAGGCUUUGGGAUAACGUUUUCUUCAAUCAACAGACACUGAGCACUGUCGCUGUCACGUGGGAGUCUGCAGAUGUGUUUGCCACGAGAUGAGAGUCCUCAGAGGCCCCCAGGAAGAUGAUGCAGGAGUUUGCUAGAGGAGCUGGGAAAGAGAAGCAUCCAGUAAUCGUGAGAGCUCUGGGGGUUCAUUGACAGAAUGGAGGCAGCUGGUGAAAUGGACUCGUUGGGGUCAGGAGUGCCUUGUUGUUUCCGCUCCUUACAGGAAAUUGUUUGGUUCCCCUCCUGCCCCUUCACUCAGUCUCAGCUUCCCAAAGAGAAAUCACCGCUUUGCAGCCAUGUUCCGAAGCGUUGCUAUAAAGAGGAUCCAUCUGGUGCUAUCCAGCCGCCAGCCCCUCUAGGGGCCCACUGUGCUCAAAACCCCGAUUGCUCAGGCUCAAAUAAUUAAUUGUGAUGUUUACUUCAAAUGGAAGAAUGUGAAAUUGUUCAACAUGCCAAGCAGUUUGCCAAAAGAGAAAGAGGAGGCUUUGGGACUGGGGAGCCAGGUCCCAUGCCCAUCACCCUGGCCUGUCUACCUGCUGGAGCUGGUGACAUGGGACAGGCCCUCAGAGGUUGUCUGGCCCUGAAGAUCCCAGCCAGGGGGGGUCGGGACAGCUGGUGUUUUGCUGGGACUCGGGGUGUGUGCUGCACACAGUUGGGGACAAACAACCAAGUAAUAGAAUUUGCAAAUGAUUUAUUGCAUCAAAACCACAUAUGGAUGCAAUACAGUGGAUCUGAAGUUCCAGUUGAUAACUUCACUGCAUUCUGAUAGCCUUCUUGGGUGAAAGAGAAAGAGGUGGAAAUUGUGCUCGUAUGACUGUCUCAAAUUAAUAGCAUGGCCAUAGGGACCUCAGUAGGAAAAGAUUGACAGUCACUGCUGUAGUUAACUUUUUGUCCACGAUGAAAUCCCUUCUGUGUAUCCUUGACACAUGGUCUGGUCUCUGCUUGAAAACAGCUAGUAUGGUGGCCUUUGCAACCAGCUUGAUUAGACAGAAAGCUCAUAGCAUAUUGAACUGUCUGUGGUUUCCCCCACUGUCCUAGUUUUCCCUCCCAGAGAGAGAGGAUCUCCGCUACAAGCUGCCUGAAGCAGAUGCUCUGCUCAGACCACCUCAGUUGUCAUCACUAUUUUUUCAUAACACCAGGUCCUGCCUCUUUGUGGCAGGGUUGUGGAAACCCACUUGUCUGCAUGCCCCCAACGGAAGUGCCUGGGAAUUAACAUAUUCCCAAGGGCAGCCCUUAACCAAUGAGUGAUGGAUGUAGGGAUCCCUUGUCCCUUGGCUGGGAUAAUUCUGGGGCAUUUAUAUUGCACCAUUUUC